rnacentral:rRNA from 1 species
UACGGAGGGAGCUAGCGUUAUUCGGAAUUACUGGGCGUAAAGCGCACGUAGGCGGCUUUGUAAGUUAGAGGUGAAAGCCUGGAGCUCAACUCCAGAAUUGCCUUUAAGACUGCAUCGCUUGAAUCCAGGAGAGGUGAGUGGAAUUCCGAGUGUAGAGGUGAAAUUCGUAGAUAUUCGGAAGAACACCAGUGGCGAAGGCGGCUCACUGGCCCGAUACUGACGCUGACGGCACGAAAGCGUGGGGAGCAAACAGGAUUAGAUGAC